rnacentral:tRNA from 2 species
UCUUGGUUAGCUCAAUUGGUAGAACACUCCACUCGAAGUGGAGUGGUCUCUGGUUUGAUACCAAAACCAGGCG